rnacentral:rRNA from 1 species
UACGUAGGGGGGCAAGCGUUAUCCGGAUUCACUGGGUGUAAAGGGAGCGUAGACGGCCAUGCAAGCCUGGAGUGAAAGCCCGGGGCCCAACCCCGGGACUGCUCUGGGAACUGUGCGGCUGGAGUGCGGGAGGGGCAGGCGGAAUUCCUGGUGUAGCGGUGAAAUGCGUAGAUAUCAGGAGGAACACCGGCGGCGAAGGCGGCCUGCUGGACCGCGACUGACGUUGAGGCUCGAAAGCGUGGGGAGCAAACAGG